ACCAGCGAAUGCGUAUCUGAGGAAACGGCGUGCAGUCGGUGAUGAAAAUUUUGAUGGAAAUCUCGCAGAGCGUUGCAUGAUCACAAUUCGAAGAGCGGCGGCUCGGGGAUAAGCCGUAGUCAUGGGCAUGAAGCAGACAGGAGGCAGCAGCGGCAGCGGCAAUAGCAGAGACAGAGGCAAGGAAUUGGCGAUACGGUUUUGAGGUGGGAAAAAAUAUGCUCGUCGUCGACGACGACGACGAUGCGCGCGUUGCUCGCCUCGCCUCCACCGCCAGAGCUACUUGCGCAGUCGGUCACUGCGCAUGGGGCUUGUUUUGCUCAGUCAAGGAGAGUACGAGAGUACGAGACGCGGCUGCACCAGCACGGGCAUGGUUGAUGCUCUCGUGGUACGGCAUUGUAGUAAACAACUCGGGUUCGGUCCGUUAAUAUUCGGUUGAAACUAACGAAUUCGAGUAAAACUAGUGAGUGUUUGUAGCAGGAUUAACGACGCGUGUGUUUUAAGGUGUUGGUUUAGUUGUUCCCGGUGUGUUUUAACCUUCCCAAAGUUGUUUAAUAUUCGAAAAUCUUGCAUUGGAAGUUUUGGAACGCCACAAGGUAUCCGCCAGCCUACACAUGGAUCAACCUCGAUUGAAAAUUCACCGAAGGAUUACGCGAGGAAAAUAAAAUUAACAAUUAACACGUGAAAAUCAGAGCGAUAAACAAGAAGCAAAAAUUAAAAGAAGAACGGAUUAAUCGUGAAUUCUUUUGGUGUUUGUGCGUUAUAGUUCAGUGUUUAUAAUAUAAAAUUAAUAAUAAUAAUUUUGAAAAAA
rnacentral:lncRNA from 1 species